GACGAACGCUGGCGGCGUGCUUAACACAUGCAAGUCGAACGGAAAGGCCCUGCUUUUGUGGGGUGCUCGAGUGGCGAACGGGUGAGUAACACGUGAGUAACCUGCCCUUGACUUUGGGAUAACUUCAGGAAACUGGGGCUAAUACCGGAUAGGAGCUCCUGCUGCAUGGUGGGGGUUGGAAAGUUUCGGCGGUUGGGGAUGGACUCGCGGCUUAUCAGCUUGUUGGUGGGGUAGUGGCUUACCAAGGCUUUGACGGGUAGCCGGCCUGAGAGGGUGACCGGCCACAUUGGGACUGAGAUACGGCCCAGACUCCUACGGGAGGCAGCAGUGGGGAAUAUUGCACAAUGGGCGGAAGCCUGAUGCAGCAACGCCGCGUGCGGGAUGACGGCCUUCGGGUUGUAAACCUCUUUCGCAUGUGACGAAGCGUGAGUGACGGUAAUGGGUAAAGAAGCACCGGCUAACUACGUG
rnacentral:rRNA from 1 species